rnacentral:pre_miRNA from 1 species
CCUGGGGGGAGGGGUCCCUCAGCCCAGAUUGUGAGAGGGCACAGGCCAGGCCAAGGGACCCUGCAGGUGCACA